ACCGUUUGUGUCUCAGCAUGCGCGAUGUGCGGGACUACCAUCUGUUAGUUACCAUCUGGUAGUGACAAGGGUAAAACGAAUCUUACGGAUAGCGCCUUGGUUUGAUCAGUAGAAAUUGUUGGUAUUAUUGUGUAAUAGCCUGCAUUCCCUGCAAGCGAACGGUAAACGUAAUACUUCUAAAUCCCGAGGCGUUUAAAAGGAACUGAAGAUGACUGUAGGAGAAGUUUAAAAGCGAGCGUAUGGGACUGUUACCGCGACUGACCGACGCCUAACAACGUUGUGUGGAGCUCACUUUUUAUUCGGAUGAACCCUGACCACGCCCACCUGAGGACCAUCACACAUGAACAAUGCACAUGGAAUUCCUUCCCAUACUCCUUUGCCAUUCUAAUUUGCAUUCCAAAAGCUCCUGCAGCUGAUUGGUUAGGCUUGAAUCCAAGACGCUGAUGGAUCAGACAGAGGAUGCACUAUAUUAACACCACAUAGGGGAGACUGAACUCACCAUUGUAAGGUAGACACUGGGAUGCUCUGGAUGGAUACUGAACUCACCUUCGUAAGAACUGAAGUCUGAAAUGUCAGGACAUACUGAAACAUCACAACUGCUCAUGUCAGUGAAGGAAGAGAUCAAAAAAGAAGAAUUUGAUGAUUUCCUGCAAGAGUAUCUUUCUGCAAUUCCGAAAGUGGAAGAAAAGCCUGGACUGGAAGCUGACUGUAAGACUGAAAUAUACACUUCACCAAUCUUGACCCACAAAGAAGAUGAGUAUUCACCAGUGGAAAUUAAACAGGAGGAAACAUCUGAUUUGAGAGAACAUGGUCACCAUGACUCUACUCCUACAGAUCUCUACAUGUCUCUGAAUCUCUGCUUACAUUUACAGUGCAGUCUGAGACGUUCAAAGGAUCCAUUCUAGCAAAAGGAGUACAGAGGAAAGAAGAA